rnacentral:rRNA from 1 species
UGGGGAAUUUUGCACAAUGGGGGAAACCCUGAUGCAGCGACGCCGCGUGAUUUAGAAGGCCUUCGGGUUGCAAAAAUCUUUUCUAUGGGAAGAAAAUGACAGUACCAUAGGAAUAAGGACCUGCUAAUUACGUGCCAGCAGCCGCGGUAAUACGUAAGGUCCGAGCGUUGUCCGGAAUCAUUGGGCGUAAAGGGUACGUAGGCGGGUAAGCAAGUUAGAAGUGAAAUCCUAUAGCUCAACUAUAGUAAGCUUUUAAAACUGCUCAUCUUGAGGUAUGGAAGGGAAAGUGGAAUUCCUAGUGUAGCGGUGAAAUGCGCAGAUAUUAGGAGGAAUACCGGUGGCGAAGGCGACUUUCUGGCCAUAACCUGACGCUAAAGUACGAAAGCGUGGGUAGCAAACAGG